rnacentral:misc_RNA from 1 species
GAUGAAGAACGUAGUGAAAUGCGAUACGUAGUGUGAAUUGCAGAAUUCAGUGAAUCAUCGAAUCUUUGAACGCACAUUGCACCUCUCGGUAUUCCGGGAGGUAUGCCUGUUCGAGCGUCAUUUGUACCCUCAAGCUCUGCUUGGUGUUGGGUGUUUGUUCCGCCUCUGUGUGUGAACUCGCCUCAAAACAAUUGGCAGCCGGCGUACUUGUUUCGGAGCGCAGCACAUUUUGCGAUCCAGAUCAACGUACAGCGGCAUCCAAGAAGCCUUAUUUAACGCUCUUGACCUCGGAUCAGGUAGGGAUACCCGCUGAACUUAAGCAUAUCAAUAAGCGGAGGA